rnacentral:rRNA from 1 species
GGGGGGGUGUGAGAAGUUUGAUCCUGGCUCAGAUUGAACGCUGGCGGCAGGCCUAACACAUGCAAGUCGAACGGUAGCACAGAGGAGCUUGCUCCUUGGGUGACGAGUGGCGGACGGGUGAGUAAUGUCUGGGAAACUGCCCGAUGGAGGGGGAUAACUACUGGAAACGGUAGCUAAUACCGCAUAACGUCGCAAGACCAAAGAGGGGGACCUUCGGGCCUCUUGCCAUCGGAUGUGCCCAGAUGGGAUUAGCUAGUAGGUGGGGUAACGGCUCACCUAGGCGACGAUCCCUAGCUGGUCUGAGAGGAUGACCAGCCACACUGGAACUGAGACACGGUCCAGACUCCUACGGGAGGCAGCAGUGGGGAAUAUUGCACAAUGGGCGCAAGCCUGAUGCAGCCAUGCCGCGUGUAUGAAGAAGGCUUCGGGUUGUAAAGUACUUCAGCGAGGAGGAAGGUGUUGUGGUUAAUAACCGCAGC